GACGAACGCUGGCGGCAUGCCUAACACAUGCAAGUCGAACGGAGAAAAGAAAGCUUGCUUCUUUUCUUAGUGGCGGACGGGUGAGUAACGCGUGAGUAACCUGCCUUUCAGAGGGGGAUAACGUUCUGAAAAGAUCGCUAAUACCGCAUGAGACUACAGAGCUGCAUGGCUCAGUGGUCAAAGGAGCAAUCCGCUGAAAGAUGGACUCGCGUCCGAUUAGAUAGUUGGCGGGGUAACGGCCCACCAAGUCGACGAUCGGUAGCCGGACUGAGAGGUUGAACGGCCACAUUGGGACUGAGACACGGCCCAGACUCCUACGGGAGGCAGCAGUGAGGGAUAUUCGGCAAUGGGGGAAACCCUGACCGAGCAAUGCCGCGUGAGGGAUGACGGUUUUCGGAUUGUAAACCUCUGUCCUCUGUGAAGAUAAUGACGGUAGCAGAGGAGGAAGCUCCGGCUAACUACGUG
rnacentral:rRNA from 1 species